rnacentral:rRNA from 1 species
CACGAGUUUGAUCAUGGCUCAGAUUGAACGCUGGCGGAAUGCUUUACACAUGCAAGUCGAACGGUAGAGGGGGCAACCCUUGAGAGUGGCGAACGGGUGAGUAAUAUAUCGGAACGUGCCCAGUCGUGGGGGAUAACGUAGCGAAAGUUACGCUAAUACCGCAUACGAUCUACGGAUGAAAGCGGGGGACUCGCAAGAGCCUCGCGCGAUUGGAGCGGCCGAUAUCAGAUUAGGUAGUUGGUGGGGUAAAGGCUCACCAAGCCAACGAUCUGUAGCUGGUCUGAGAGGACGACCAGCCACACUGGAACUGAGACACGGUCCAGACUCCUACGGGAGGCAGCAGUGGGGAAUUUUGGACAAUGGACGCAAGUCUGAUCCAGCCAUUCCGCGUGCAGGAUGAAGGCCCUCGGGUUGUAAACUGCUUUUGUACGGAACGAAAAGGUUUCUAUUAAUACUAGGAGCUCAUGACGGUACCGUAAGAAUAAGCACCGGCUAACUACGUG